rnacentral:rRNA from 1 species
GAUUUCUGGUAUGAUGCCCCUGAUCCGUGCCCUUUACGGGGUAUGUGUGUUGGUGUGGCGUCUGCCAUCUUAUGUAUAGAUGCUUUGUUCUUUCCUGGUGCCUUUACUGGUUUCAGGGGACUUAGGUUAUCAUCUAUAUCUUUUACUUUGAAAAAAUUAGAGUGUUUAAAGCAGGCUUUUAGCCCUUGAAUACAUUAGCAUGGAAUAAUAAUAUAGGACUUCGGUUCUAUUUUGUUGGUUUCUAGUACUGAAGUAAUGAUUGAUAGGGAUAGUUGGGGGUGCUAGUAUUCAGCGGCCAGAGGUGAAAUUCUUGGAUUCGCUGAAGACUAACUUAUGCGAAAGCAUU